rnacentral:rRNA from 1 species
GACGAACGCUGGCGGCGUGCUUAACACAUGCAAGUCGAGCGGUAAGGCCUCUUCGGGGGUGCACGAGCGGCGGACGGGCGGGUAACACGUGGGUGACUUGCCUUCCGCUCAGGGAUAAGUCUGGGCAACUGGCUCUAAUACAGGAUAGGUCCUUUCUCCGGCUGGGGUUUGGGGGUAGGUAUGUUUGGCCGGUGAGGGGUGGGCGCCCUAUCAGCUUGUUGGUGGGGUGGUGGCCUACUAAGGCGACGACGGGUGGCCGGCCUGGGAGGGCGACCGGCCACGCUGGGACUGAGACACGGCACAGACUCCGGCGGGAGGCAGGAGGGGGGAAUAUUGAGCGAUGGGCGGAAGCCUGAGGAAGCGAGGCCGCGUGGGGAAGGACGGCCGUCGGGUAGUAGACCUCUUUCGACCCCGACGGAUUUGGACGGUAGGGGUAGAAGAAGCACCGGCCAACUACGUG